GCUGGGUGGCUCAGUCAGUUGAGUGUCUGACUUCUACUCAGGUCAUGAUCUCACAAUUCAUGGGUUCAAGCCCCAUACCGGGCU
rnacentral:tRNA from 1 species